UACCGAUUCCCGACGAGCCGUGCUGCAGCUGCACUGCACGCUCGUCUUCUCCAUCGGCGGCGGCGGCGGCGGGCGGCGGUGGCGGCGGGCCUUCAGUACGGCUCCUCCCGUCGGUAGCUCCGCCCAUUCUCGACGUGCGCCUCCCCGGCGACGCGGCGAGGCCUCCCGUCACCUCGAACCCCUGUCUAAGCCUAGGGCGGCGGCGAUCGCGGCCAGUAGAGGGCGGCGCGGCAGCGGCGACAGCAGCUGCGAUCCUCCAUCAGAGGGAGACCUGCAGGAGCGAAGCUGACAAGAGGCAGAGGUCGCCUCCCAUGGAUUCUCUCCAUCUCGUGCACGUCAAGCUCCUGGCUGCCGAUCUCCUCUCCCUGGCCUCCCGCCACACCUCGCCGCCUUCGUUCGCUCGCUGCGGCCGUACGGUUACUCGUGCCGAGAUCGUCGGCGUCGUGGUUUCCCGUGAUCGCAGGGAGAAGUUCCUCCGGUUUCUGGUGGACGAUGGCACCGGAUGCGUGCCGUGCGUGCUGUGGCUGAACCACCACUACCUGAAUGCUGCGAGCAGUUCAUCCAGGGCAUCAGAUUCUGAUCCAACUGCAGAGAUGGCGUUGAGGAUGUCAGAGGUGGUGAGCCUGGGCACUCUGUUGAGGGUUCGAGGCAGGAUUGUAUUGUACCGUGGUGCGAUCCAGAUUGCUGUUAGAGAUGUUGUUCUGGAGAAGGACCCUAAUGUGGAGGUGAUGCAUUGGUUGCAAUGUAUUCGCAUGGCCAAGGAAUGUUACGAUCUGCGGCCGCCUUCUGCUUGAGGCUCAUCUCGGAGGAAGUUCGUGCAAUGAUCAAGCUGAACUAGGAGAGGAGAAAAUAUGGGCAACCGCAUUAUCAGCUUCUAAGGUACUUUGCAAUGCAUCUGCAGCAGCUUCUCGUAGUAUUAAUGCUUAUGUAAAGAAAUAAGAACCAGCUAUCGAAAGAAAAAAAAAAAGACAAAACAGCCAAAGAUACAGAUGUAGUAUGUUAAUAUGGUUAAUACUUGGGAUGAAGCUAUAAGCUUAUAUGCUUCUAGCAGGUAUGCCUUUUUAAGAUAGCGACUUGGCUUACAACUUAUGGUAGAAUGACAGAGUGUGUUUCAUGGACCUAUCUUCAAGUAAGAUAUUCCUGAGAUAGUAAAGGAAUACGAUGAUUAGUGAAAGCCAAAGAAAGACAGACAGAUAGAAGUAAAAGAACAAGAGAGAACCAUUUAGAUUGCAGUGAAGAAUGUUUUAAUUUUGGCAGUGAAUUAUCAGUGAUUUGCUCGAGUUAUAGUUAUUCAGGUUCAGAUUGAGGCUGCAAAGAUAAAUUUAGAGAAGGGUGCACUACAGAUACAUUGGUUUCUAAUACCUGUCCUGUGAACAAAGGUCCAGAAUUGAAAGCACUAGAACAGAAGACAAAUUGAUGGCCUUUUCUUCAUGUCUGCAGAAUUGGGCAAGGUAUGGGAAAUCCCUUGGACCAAACGAAGGUACUAGAGGAAUCUACCAGUACACUUUGGAUUUAUCCUUCUUUCCGGACUGCAUUGCACGAAUAUAUGCAAGUACUUGAGUUUCCUAUAACCUAUGUUCAUACCUCUGUUUUCUGCUUUUAUUCUUUCACUAUUUAGUUUGAUGAAAAAAAUACUUAACCAACCUUGACAAAAUAUUAAAAGUCCAAUAAAUUAUGGAAGUAUGUCAGUAGCUUUUACUUCAAGAGUGUCUACACAUUUGACCAUGCUAUUAUAUGACACUAGUAUUCAGCUCUUGUUUUA